CACACAGACACACACACACACCAUCUCCGAGAGACACACACAGUUCCAGAUACUGGAAAGCUGAAAGUCUGUGUAUUGAAUAAAACAUUGCGUCCUCUAACCAAGCAGCAGCAGAUGGAGGAGUGACAGAUUUCCAGAACAGCAAGAUCCUCCUACGGGCCAAAAGCAAUUGUUUCGCCUCUCCCUGAUUUCUUCCGAACGAGAACAGUUGAAUCUUGUGGAACAAUAUCAGGAGAUGAACAGGACCCGGAGCCAAUAUCGAAUAAAAGUCCUUCAGUUGUAUUCGACCCUUGAAUCCAGGACAACCGCGAAUUCCCUUCGGGACCUCUGCCAGACCACCUAUUUGAGGAAUGCGUACAUCCUCAACCGCAGCAGCUCUAUCCCCGAAAGCAACUUAUUCUGCAAUCGUUGACCAGCAGGAAAGCCUGAGCUCAGAGACGCAGAGAAUCCUCGGCAGGAUGGACCGGAGCGAGAGUUACAUGAAUGUGAAGUUGGGAAAAAAGAACUCAAGGUCUCCUACCCGAGGUGA